GUUCAUGGUUUAAAUGGCC
rnacentral:snRNA from 1 species